GUUCUUGUGGCGCAAUGGUAGCGCGUUGGACUUCUAUAUCUUCUUGUUUGAUAGUGAGAUCCAAAGGCUGUGGGUUCGAGCCCCACCAAGAAUG
rnacentral:tRNA from 1 species